AACGAACGCUGGCGGCAGGCCUAACACAUGCAAGUCGAACGCAUCCUUCGGGAUGAGUGGCGGACGGGUGAGUAUCGCGUGGGAACCUACCCCGGGGUGUGGAAUAACCGAUGGAAACGUCGGCUAAUACCGCAUACGCCUUGAGAGGGAAAGAUUUAUUGCCCUGGGAGGGGCCCGCGUCCGAUUAGCUAGUUGGUGGGGUAAUGGCCCACCAAGGCUGCGAUCGGUAGCUGGUCUGAGAGGAUGAUCAGCCACACUGGGACUGAGACACGGCCCAGACUCCUACGGGAGGCAGCAGUGGGGAAUAUUGGACAAUGGGGGCAACCCUGAUCCAGCCAUGCCGCGUGAGUGAAGAAGGCCUUAGGGUUGUAAAGCUCUUUCACCCGUGACGAUGAUGACGGUAGCGGGAGAAGAAGCCCCGGCUAAUUCCGUGCCAGCCGCCGCCGU
rnacentral:rRNA from 1 species